AUCCAGAUGAUGAAUCCCAAAUAGGACGAAACGCGCAUCCUGGAU
rnacentral:hammerhead_ribozyme from 1 species